UCUGGCUUUUCGAGCCGGAGCCCCGGUAAACUCGCUAGGUGGUCCGCAGCUUCGGAUCGUUAAGGCUUAGA
rnacentral:pre_miRNA from 1 species